UACGGAGGGGGCUAGCGUUGUUCGGAAUUACUGGGCGUAAAGCGCACGUAGGCGGCUUUGUAAGUCAGGGGUGAAAUCCCGGGGCUCAACCCCGGAACUGCCCUUGAGACUGCAAGGCUCGAAUCCAGGAGAGGUGAGUGGAAUUCCGAGUGUAGAGGUGAAAUUCGUAGAUAUUCGGAAGAACACCAGUGGCGAAGGCGGCUCACUGGACUGGUAUUGACGCUGAGGUGCGAAAGCGUGGGGAGCAAACAGG
rnacentral:rRNA from 1 species